rnacentral:rRNA from 1 species
AUGGUGGAUGCCAUAGCUAGGCCUUGCUCCAUCAUCAACCCAUCAAUGGAAACAUCCACUACAGCCCAUAAACCCUCACCCAACUGUUUGCAGAACCUGAGGAAGGUCACCUUCCUAACAGGGACAAGAGUUUGUGAAAUAGUUGCGGUCUUGAGUAAUGCGUACCCUUUUUUGAGCAAAAAGGCCUUCUCUCCAAUUUCCAUUAGUAAGAGAAAUCAGGGCUGGCGACUGCGUACCUACUUCCACUUGCAGAAGCAUUUGCGUGCGGCGUGCACUUGCAGAAACUUUUGUGCUCGUGGUUGCAUGCUGAUCGAGUCGAAAUACAGUAGCGACGACCAGAGAUCCUCUAUAAGAUUCAGCAUCAGGCGAUCACCUCAAAACCACACAGAGCACCUGACCCUCAGGUCCACACGCACGCCGGGUGCAAUGACGCUUACCUUCGCCGUGCGCCGGCGAGAGCCAGUCCUCGUCGUCCCGGCCUCACCGACACCCCAGGAAACAAAGCGCCUCUCCGACAUCGACAGUAAGGAGUCUCUGCGGGUGCUCAUGCCCGGCGUCUUCGUCCACCGCGGCGGCCCGGCGCGCGGCGACGACGACCCGGUGGACGUCAUCGCCCGAGCGCUGUCGGAGGCGCUGGUGCACUACUACCCCCUCGCAGGGCGCUUCAGGGAGGUGGAAGGUGGCAAGCUGGUCGUGGACUGCACUGGCCAGGGCGUGCUGUUCGCGGAGGCCGACGCCGACGUGCGGCUGGCCGAGCUCGAGGAGGCUGCCGGUGGUGGCCAGGGGCUGACGCCGCCGUUCCCGUGCAUGGAUGAGCUCCUCCUCGACGUGGAUUGCUCUAGCGGCGGCGUGCUCACCUGGCCGUUGGUGGUGAUCCAGGUCACGCGGCUCCUCUGCGGCGGCUUCGUCUUCGGCAUGCGCAUCAACCACGCCAUGUGCGACGCCACGGGAGUCUACCUGUUCAUGUCCGCCAUCGCCGACCUCGCCCGCGGGCUCCCCGCGCCGGCCGUCGCGCCUUCAUGGUCCCGCGGCCUCCUCGACGCGCCGCACAACAAAAACGCCUCCACGGUGCACCGGCCGCGUCGACGUUCGAGGUCCUCGCGGCGCUCCUCUGGCGCGCUCGCGCUCCCUGCGGGCGAGGUCGCGCGGCUCGGCAUCAUCGCGAGCUUCAGGAGGAACGCCGCCCUGCGGCUCCCCACGGGAUACUACGGCAACGCGUGCGUGCCGCUCAGAGCGGCGGCGCCCGCCGACGACAUGGGCGGGAGCUCGCUGGGCGACGUGGUGGAGAUGAUACAGAAGGCUAAGGCAGCCGCCGCGCACGUGAGGUCCGCGGCCAACAUGCUGGCGCUGCACGGGCCGCCGCCGUUCGACUCGCCCAACAUGUUCCUCCUCUCCGACCUCCGGCACGUCGGGUUCCACCGCGUGGACUUCGGGUGGGGCGAGCCGGUGUAUGGCGGGCCGUCUCAGGUGCAUCUCGGGGGGACGUUCUUCGUGGCCGUCAAGGACGGUGACGGGGAGGACGCCGUGGCCGUGCCGGUCAUGCUGCCGUGGACGGCCAUGGAGCGGUUCGCGGCAGAGAUCGAAACCUCGCUCCAGGCUUGA